rnacentral:rRNA from 1 species
UCGAUAACGAACGAGACCUCGACCUGCUAAAUAGUUUGGUGAAUUCUCCGGGAUUCACUUACGACUUCUUAGAGGGACUAUCGGUGAUUUAGCCGACGGAAGUUCGAGGCAAUAACAGGUCUGUGAUGCCCUUAGAUGCCCUGGGCCGCACGCGCGCUACACUGAUACGUUCAUCGAGCUUACAACCUUGGUUGAGAGGCCUGGGUAAUCUUUUUAAACCGUAUCGUGCUGGGGAUAGAUUAUUGUAAUUUUUAAUCUUCAACGAGGAAUUCCUAGUAAACGCGAGUCAUCAACUCGCAUUGAUUACGUCCCUGCCCUUUGUACACACCGCCCGUCGCUAAUACCGAUUGAAUGGAUC